rnacentral:rRNA from 1 species
UACGUAGGGUGCAAGCGUUGUCCGGAAUUAUUGGGCGUAAAGAGCUCGUAGGCGGUCUGUCGCGUCUGCUGUGAAAACUCAGGGCUUAACCCUGAGCUUGCAGUGGGUACGGGCAGACUAGAGUGCGGUAGGGGAGACUGGAAUUCCUGGUGAUAGCGGUGAAAUGACGCAGAUAUCGAGGAGGAACACCGAUGGCGAAGGCAGGUCACUGGGCCGCAACUGACGCUGGAGGAGCGAAAGCCGUGGGAGCGAACAGG